rnacentral:rRNA from 1 species
UACGUAGGGAGCAAGCGUUGUCCGGAAUCAUUGGGCGUAAAGCGCGCGUAGGUGGUCCCGUAAGUCCGCUGUGAAAGUCAAAGGCUCAACCCUUUUGAAAAGCCGAUGGAUACUGUGAGACUAGAGUACGGAAGAGGCGAGUGGAAUUCCUGGUGUAGCGGUGGAAUGCGCAGAUAUCAGGAGGAACACCAAUAGCGAAGGCAGCUCGCUGGGACGUUACUGACACUGAGGCGCGAAAGCGUGGGGGAGCGAACAGG